rnacentral:rRNA from 1 species
GGAAUUUUCUGCAAUGGGCGCAAGCCUGACAGAGCAACACCGCGUGAGGGAAGAAAGCCUACGGGUUGUAAACCUCUUUUCUCAAGGAGGAAGUUCUGACGUUACUUGAGGAAUAAGUAUCGGCAAACCCUGUGCCAGCAGCCGCGGUAAGACAGGGGAUGCAAGCGUUAUCCGGAAUUAUUGGGCGUAAAGCGUCUGCAGGUGGAGCAGGAAGUCUUUUGUUAAACCUCUGGGCUUAACCCAGAAACUGCAAAAGAAACUCCUGUUCUUGAGGAUGGUAGAGGUAAAGGGAACUUCCAGUGGAGCGGUGAAAUGUGUAGAGAUUGGAAAGAACACCAAAGGCGAAAGCACUUUACUGGGCCAUACCUGACACUGAGAGACGAAAGCUAGGGGAGCAAACGGGAUUAGAGACCCCGGUAGUCCUAGCUGUAAACGAUGAAUACUAGAUGUUGUCUUAAAGGUCUUUUAGAAAUAAAUUUUCUAGAAGAGACAUUUAUGGACGGUGUCGUAGCUAACGCGUUAAGUAUUCCGCCUGGGGAGUACGUUCGCAAGAAUGAAACUCAAAGGAAUUGACGGGGACCCGCACAAGCGGUGGAUGAUGUGGUUUAAUUCGAUGCAACGCGAAAAACCUUACCCACCUUUGACAUGUACGGAAGUUACCAGAGAUGGUUUCGUGCUCGAAAGAGAACCGUAACACAGGUGCUGCAUGGCUGUCGUCAGCUCGUGUCGUGAGAUGUUGGGUUAAGUCCCGUAACGAGCGCAACCCUUGUCCUUAGUUACCAGCACGUUAUGGUGGGCACUCUAAGGAGACUGCCGGUGACAAACCGGAGGAAGGUGGGGAUGACGUCAAGUCCUCAUGGCCCUUAUAGGUGGGGCUACACACGUCAUACAAUGGCUGGUACAGAGGGUUGCCAACCCGCGAGGGGGAGCUAAUCCCAUAAAACCAGUCGUAGUCCGGAUCGCAGUCUGCAACUCGACUGCGUGAAGUCGGAAUCGCUAGUAAUCGCGGAUCAGAAUGUCGCGGUGAAUACGUUCCCGGGCCUUGUACACACCGCCCGUCACACCAUGGGAGUGGGUUGCACCAGAAGUAGCUAGUCUAACCUUCGGGGGGACGGUUACCACGGUGUGAUUCAUGACUGGGGUGAAGUCGUAACAAGGUAGCCGUAGGGGAACCUGCGGCUG